CCGCAACUUUAAAAUAGCCCUGUCUUGGGUUGCAUGUAGAUCCUCUGUCUCAGAUCCCUGACGAUCUGGAUGAAAUCCUGAUUUCCCUGUCUCAUUGCCUAGUGGUUUGAUGCUCCAACUCACUGGUAAUGUUUCUGCUUCUGCUGCUUUCGCCACCGCAUGGGCUAACCGAUUUCCGUUUCUGGGGGUCCAAGUUACUCCCUUUUCAGCUAUUGCUCCUGUUCCGGUGUCUUUCUUGAAGGCUGCAUAAACAUUAGCUUUUAGCCAGUUCUCAGGGGGAGGUCUCCAUUUCACCAGG